rnacentral:rRNA from 1 species
UACGGAGGGUGCAAGCGUUAUCCGGAUUUACUGGGUUUAAAGGGUGCGUAGGUGGGUAGGUAAGUCAGUGGUGAAAUCUUCGAGCUUAAACUCGGAAACUGCCAUUGAUACUAUUUAUCUUGAAUACUCUGGAGGUAAGCGGAAUAAUGUCAUGUAGCGGUGAAAUGCUUAGAUAUGACAUAGAACACCAAUUGCGAAGGCAGCUUACUACAUAAGUUAUUGACACUGAGGCACGAAAGCGUGGGGGAUCAAAACAGG